AGGGCGGGCCUGUCGGCAGCCGCUCGCCGAACGGACGCCUCCGCGCUGCAAGCCCGCGCCCUCGGUCCCUGAGGGGAGCCUGCGGCGGCCCUGAGGGGAGGCGGCUCGGCUGGUGGCCACGGCGAGGAGACCGAGCGCCCCGGCCAGUCAAAACCAGAAAUUAGAUAACAGAAAUGCCACACUGUCAACACCGACCGGGAGGAAAGCCUCGCUGGCGGAGAGCGCUCAACAGAGCCCUUCGUGUAUUCUCCCAGCCCAGGUCGCAGGUGGAGGAGGAGUGCCUCCUGCAGGGACGGGUUCUCCCGUAGACACUCAAACUCCGGGAUAUAAAACCCCUGUUAAUAAUUGUCAAGAGUGUUACUUCCCAAAUACAGUUUUUGAAAGCUGUAUGCACUAGGUAAAAUAAUUUAUGUAAUGUUUGGAAGUAUGUGAAAGAGCAUUAGAUUGAUACAAAUUAAAAACUUGUUCCCAAAUUAA